rnacentral:rRNA from 1 species
GAUGAACGCUAGCGGCAGGCCUAACACAUGCAAGUCGAGGGGUAGCAGGAUUAAGCUUGCUUAAUUGCUGACGACCGGCGCACGGGUGCGUAACGCGUAUGCAACCUACCUUAUACUGGGGUAUAGCCCGGAGAAAUUCGGAUUAAUCCCCCAUAGUACUAAUGAAUCGCAUGGUUUAUUAGUUAAAGCAUUGCGGUAUAAGAUGGGCAUGCGUCCUAUUAGCUAGAUGGUGAGGCAACGGCUCACCAUGGCUACGAUAGGUAGGGGGCCUGGGAGGGUGGUCCCCCACACUGGUACUGAGACACGGACCAGACUCCUACGGGAGGCAGCAGUGAGGAAUAUUGGUCAAUGGGCGCAAGCCUGAACCAGCCAUGCCGCGUGCAGGAAGAGUGCCCUAUGGGUUGUAAACUGCUUUUAUUUGGGAAUAAACCUCUUUACGUGUAGAGAGCUGAAGGUACCAAAUGAAUAAGCACCGGCUAACUCCGUGCCAGCCGCCGCCGUAA